AUUGCUACUCUGAUACUGUUAAAUUAUUGAUCCAUUAUAUGUAUUGAUGUAUUGUAUGUAUUGAUGCAUUUUAAGCUUUAGGUAUUGCAUGGAUUAGUUGUAUUUAUUGUUAGUACUGCUGUUUAGGGUGUUAGAAGUUGUAUAGCUUGUAAUUUAAGUCACCAUCUGAAAUGAGGCUAUUGUUACCAUGUGUUUUGCUGUAUUGCUAGUAUGUAUUUUUGCUGGGUUGUGAGCUGCCCUGAGCCCUUCGGGGAUAGGGCAGGGUAUAAAUAUAAUUGAAAUGAAAUGAAAAUUUUUUAAAAAGUCCAAAAGUGAAAGGACUGUGUAGAGACAUUGUUAUCUAUUUCCACUCUAAAGAAAUGGCAGAUCAUAUUCUGGAAACACACAGGAAAUCAGCAAUCAAGAUAGAAGACAAGGACAUCAUCGUGAUGAGAGAAUCUUUAAGAGUCUUACAAAAAAGGAAAGAUUAUGCAUUUUUGUGGACACUUUAAGAAGAAACCAGAUAAGAUUUUUAUGGCUUAGAGGGAAGGAGUUUUCUUCACUUACAAGGGACAACAGUAAAGAAUUACUUCAAUAAUGAUUGCCAAAGAGAUCUUCAAGAACAUUUUAAAAGAUCUUAAAUAAAAUUCUUCUGCAAGAUGAAAGA